AUUGAACGCUGGCGGCAUGCCUUACACAUGCAAGUCGAACGGUAACAGGUCUUCGGAUGCUGACGAGUGGCGAACGGGUGAGUAAUACAUCGGAACGUGCCCGAUCGUGGGGGAUAACGGAGCGAAAGCUUUGCUAAUACCGCAUACGAUCUACGGAUGAAAGCAGGGGACCGCAAGGCCUUGCGCGGACGGAGCGGCCGAUGGCAGAUUAGGUAGUGGGUGGGAUAAAAGCUUACCAAGCCGACGAUCUGUAGCUGGUCUGAGAGGACGACCAGCCACACUGGGACUGAGACACGGCCCAGACUCCUACGGGAGGCAGCAGUGGGGAAUUUUGGACAAUGGGCGAAAACCUGAUCCAGCCAUGCCGCGUGCAGGAUGAAGGCCUUCGGGUUGUAAACUGCUUUUGUACGGAACGAAAAGCCUCUUUCUAAUAAAGAGAGGUCAUGACGGUACCGUAAGAAUAAGCACCGGCUAACUACGUGCCAGCAGCCGCCGUAAAAC
rnacentral:rRNA from 1 species